GGGCACAAAAGCAGAGAGAGCUUGGGGGUGUGCUGCACAGGCUGCAUAAGGGGGCUCGGAGUGGGACCCUGCGGAGGUGCCCAUGGAUGGGGGCCCUAAGUGAUGUUACUCUGAGGCUCCCGUGUUAACCCAGCAUCAAGACGGGGCCUAUGCAGUUCCUUCUCCACAAGACUCCUCCCAUGUUCUUGGGGUCCUAUUCCACUGGGCUCAAAAGGACACAGACUGCCAAAACACCAGUCACCUGCAAAACCAAAGGAUGAUCUCUGAGAGGCAUUGUAAUAGCGUCGGGUUCCAUCACUUCAAUUUAUCAAUGAAGCAGCAGAGGCUCAGAGAGGUGAAGCAACAGGCUCAAGAUCACACAGCUUGUUGAAUGGAAGUCUCCUCAUCCCCUGUCUGCCUUUAAAAAAUCCGCAGGCAAUACCCAUGCUACUGCUUCUGGAACCACACUGAUAAUCCAGGUCACCAAGUUUUAGAAAAAUUAAACACAACAAAGCACAUAACAGCUUUAACAUGGUGAGAAUAAUUCUUCUAUAAAUGGCUGUUCUAUUACAUGUUUGAGAUUUAGACCAGACACCAGAGGCUCAAGAGCAUUUAAAAGACCUACUAUGUGCCAUAAG
ensembl:lncRNA